CCACGCCCGCUCAGAAACUACAAAGGAAUUGACGGGGGCCCGCACAAGCGGUGGAGCAUGUGGUUUUAAUUCGAAGCAACGCGAAGAACCUUACCAGGCCUUGACAUGCAGAGAACUUUCCAGAGAUGGAUUGGUGCCUUCGGGAACUUUGACACAGGUGCUGCAUGGCUGUCGUCAGCUCGUGUCGUGAGAUGUUGGGUUAAGUCCCGUAACGAGCGCAACCCUUGUCCUUAGUUACCAGCACGUUAUGGUGGGCACUCUAAGGAGACUGCCGGUGACAAACCGGAGGAAGGCGGGGAUGACGUCAAAUCAGCACGGCCCUUACGUCCAGGGCUACACACGUGCUACAAUGGCCGAUACAGAGGGCAGCUACCUGGUGACAGGAUGCAAAUCUCCAAAGUCGGUCUCAGUUCGGAUCGGAGUCUGCAACCCGACUCCGUGAAGUUGGAUUCGCUAGUAAUCGCGCAUCAGCCAUGGCGCGGUGAAUACGUUCCCGGGCCUU
rnacentral:rRNA from 1 species